AAAAAGGUAAGCUAAAUAUAAGCUAAUGGGUUCAUACCCCGUAAAUAGGAACUAUCCUCCUUUUUA
rnacentral:tRNA from 1 species